rnacentral:sRNA from 1 species
GAAAAUGGAAUUGGUGAAGAAGAUGAACGAACUCAGGGCAUAAAACUCUUGAAAACCAUAUUGAAAUGGCUGAUGGCAAGUGCAGGAAGAUCCUUUUCUACAGCAGUUACAGAACAACUUCAGCUUCUACCUUUGUUUUUUAAGAUUGCCCCAGUGGAAAAUGACAAUAGCUACGAUGAACUGAAAAGAGAUGCAAAGUUAUGUUUAUCAUUAAUGUCUCAGGGGUUGCUUUACCCUCAUCAAGUGCCUUUGGUACUUCAGGUGCUAAAACAAGUUCGAGAAAUGGCUGCUACUACGUUAAGCGGUCUGCUACAGUGUAACUUUCUUACCAUGGACAGUCCUAUGCAGAUUCAUUUUGAGCAACUUUGCAAAACAAAACUACCUAAGAAAAGAAAGCGAGACCCUGGUUCUGUAGGAGAUACCAUUCCUUCUGCAGAGUUGGUCAAACGCCAUGCUGGGGUGCUAGGACUUGGUGCAUGUGUUCUUUCUAGUCCUUACGAUGUUCCCACCUGGAUGCCCCAGCUCCUCAUGAAUCUCAGUGCACAUCUAAAUGAUCCUCAGCCUAUUGAGAUGACUGUAAAAAAAACCUUAUCCAAUUUCCGAAGGACUCACCAUGACAACUGGCAGGAACACAAACAGCAAUUCACUGAUGACCAACUGCUUGUUCUCACCGAUCUUCUUGUGUCACCAUGCUAUUAUGCAUAGAAAGAUGACUAGUCCUCACUUCAGGCUCUUUUCAUCAAAAAUUCCACACCCUCAGGUACCAUCUGUGGUGGCUCUCUGCAAGUUUUAAAAUUGCCUCUGCUGAGCUCUCAUCAUUUUGGUGGUUUCUGUGUUAGAUCUCGUUAGUCUGCAUUCCACAGCUUCUCAGUUGCCAUUUGAUUUCCCAACUUGUCCGGAAGUGUUUCCAGAAUACUGAUCACUUUUUUUUUUUUGAGGCAUCUGACAAAGUCACAAAGUCUCAGACUAGAAAUAAUUACCCAGUAUGAUCAUGGCAUCCAAGACCAGAGUCUCGGAACUCAUUAAGAAACAGUUUACUUGGAAUGGAGAAUACCCAUCUGUAAUACAGGUCCUGUCAUUUCAUUCAUCUCAAAUUGAAUUCUUCCCAAAUGGCUGCUGGAUUUAGAUGGUAGUAGGGCUGUGGGCCAUAAAUCUGAAGCCUUGAGAACCGUGGGUCUGGAGAGUCAUGAAGAGGGAAGGCAAAGAGGGCAAGUCCUGAACCUAACCAGUGACCUGAUGGAUUGCUCGACCAAGACACACAAGUGAAGUCUGUGUCUGUGCACUUCCCACAGACUGGAGUUUUUGGUGCUGAAUAGAGCCAGUUGCUAAAAAAUUGGGGGUUUGGUGAAGAAAUCUGAUUGUUGUGUGUAUUCAAUGUGUGAUUUUAAAAAUAAACAGCAACAACAAUAAAAACCCU